CUCAGGAUGAACGCUGGCGGCGUGCCUAAUACAUGCAAGUCGAACGAGUUCUGAUUAUUGAAAGGUGCUUGCAUCUUGAUUUAAUUUUGAACGAGUGGCGGACGGGUGAGUAACACGUGGGUAACCUGCCCUUAAGUGGGGGAUAACAUUUGGAAACAGAUGCUAAUACCGCAUAAAUCCAAGAACCGCAUGGUUCUUGGCUGAAAGAUGGCGUAAGCUAUCGCUUUUGGAUGGACCCGCGGCGUAUUAGCUAGUUGGUGAGGUAACGGCUCACCAAGGCAAUGAUACGUAGCCGAACUGAGAGGUUGAUCGGCCACAUUGGGACUGAGACACGGCCCAAACUCCUACGGGAGGCAGCAGUAGGGAAUCUUCCACAAUGGACGCAAGUCUGAUGGAGCAACGCCGCGUGAGUGAAGAAGGCUUUCGGGUCGUAAAACUCUGUUGUUGGAGAAGAAUGGUCGGCAGAGUAACUGUUGUCGGCGUGACGGUAUCCAACCAGAAAGCCACGGCUAACUACGUGCCAGCAGCCGCGGUAAUACGUAGGUGGCAAGCGUUAUCCGGAUUUAUUGGGCGUAAAGCGAGCGCAGGCGGUUUUUUAAGUCUGAUGUGAAAGCCCUCGGCUUAACCGAGGAAGUGCAUCGGAAACUGGGAAACUUGAGUGCAGAAGAGGACAGUGGAACUCCAUGUGUAGCGGUGAAAUGCGUAGAUAUAUGGAAGAACACCAGUGGCGAAGGCGGCUGUCUGGUCUGUAACUGACGCUGAGGCUCGAAAGCAUGGGUAGCGAACAGGAUUAGAUACCCUGGUAGUCCAUGCCGUAAACGAUGAAUGCUAGGUGUUGGAGGGUUUCCGCCCUUCAGUGCCGCAGCUAACGCAUUAAGCAUUCCGCCUGGGGAGUACGACCGCAAGGUUGAAACUCAAAGGAAUUGACGGGGGCCCGCACAAGCGGUGGAGCAUGUGGUUUAAUUCGAAGCAACGCGAAGAACCUUACCAGGUCUUGACAUCUUUUGAUCACCUGAGAGAUCAGGUUUCCCCUUCGGGGGCAAAAUGACAGGUGGUGCAUGGUUGUCGUCAGCUCGUGUCGUGAGAUGUUGGGUUAAGUCCCGCAACGAGCGCAACCCUUAUGACUAGUUGCCAGCAUUUAGUUGGGCACUCUAGUAAGACUGCCGGUGACAAACCGGAGGAAGGUGGGGAUGACGUCAAAUCAUCAUGCCCCUUAUGACCUGGGCUACACACGUGCUACAAUGGAUGGUACAACGAGUUGCGAGACCGCGAGGUCAAGCUAAUCUCUUAAAGCCAUUCUCAGUUCGGACUGUAGGCUGCAACUCGCCUACACGAAGUCGGAAUCGCUAGUAAUCGCGGAUCAGCACGCCGCGGUGAAUACGUUCCCGGGCCUUGUACACACCGCCCGUCACACCAUGAGAGUUUGUAACACCCGAAGCCGGUGGCGUAACCCUUUUAGGGAGCGAGCCGUCUAAGGUGGG
rnacentral:rRNA from 1 species